AUUGAACGCUGGCGGCAUGCCUUACACAUGCAAGUCGAACGGUAACGCGGGGCAACCUGGCGACGAGUGGCGAACGGGUGAGUAAUGUAUCGGAACGUGCCCAGUUGUGGGGGAUAACUGCUCGAAAGAGCAGCUAAUACCGCAUACGACCUGAGGGUGAAAGCGGGGGAUCGCAAGAUCCCGCGCAAUUGGAGCGGCCGAUAUCAGAUUAGGUAGUUGGUGGGGUAAAGGCCCACCAAGCCAACGAUCUGUAGCUGGUCUGAGAGGACGACCAGCCACACUGGGACUGAGACACGGCCCAGGCUCCUACGGGAGGCAGCAGUGGGGAAUUUUGGACAAUGGACGAAAGUCUGAUCCAGCCAUGCCGCGUGCGGGAAGAAGGCCUUCGGGUUGUAAACCGCUUUUGUCAGGGAAGAAACGCUCUGGGUUAAUACCUCGGGGUAAUGACGGUACCUGAAGAAUAAGCACCGGCUAACUACGUGCCAGCAGCCGCGGUAAAAC
rnacentral:rRNA from 1 species